rnacentral:lncRNA from 1 species
UAAAUACCUUAAUGAAAAGGCAUUAAAUAAAUACCUAAAUUUUAUUAUUUUUCCUAGGGUAUAAAAAUUUGAAUGCAUAAAGGAAAAUAAAAUAAUCCUAACAAAAUUGGUCUCACUAAUUUUGGACACUCCUAGAAAUUUCUGUGAUUUAAACGGUGUAAACCGAAUUUUAAUGUUCUUUAUCUAUAAAAGGAAAACCUAAUGUUUAUCCAAAUAACCCCGGCCUAACCUUUCUCACUCGUACUAGGCCCGUUAAGCUGGCCCACCUACUCCCGGUCUCUACCUUAUUCUACUCGCCGGCCCAACGAGCGCCCAAACUCUAACGAGCCUCCUUACGACCGGCCUGCUCUCCGCACAGGCCAACAGCCCAACUUCCUCCUCCCUACCCAUGCCUGACGCAAGGGCCUUUUUUUUUUGGGGCCAGCCCACCCCGUUUCUUUCCCCCUUCACUUCCACCUGGGCCUCCAACCGACAAGCCCCUCUCCUCCUCUCAACUCCCCUGGCGCAUAGGCCAGAACAGGGGCGCGACAGGCAGGGGGCGGGGCUCGCCGACGGUGCCUCCCCGGCGGCGUGGCCGGGCUGGGGGCAUCCUGAAACCGGGGCGCACCCACGGGCGGUGGCGGCCCUCCAGGAGGCGGCCUGUGCCGAGCCCUCCACGGUGGCGGCGGCAAAGGCCGGCUGCCGGCCGGCGCAAAGCCCGACGGUGGCGCAAAAACGGCCUUCGGUGCCCCCCCCUAUGGACCCUAUUCGACUCAGCAAGCUCUGCAACCCAAGGAAUCGAGCAAAAGGGGCAUCACAGAGAGGCUCACCAAAGAACUAUGGUGGCGGCUGGCGGAUUAAAAUGGUGGCGAUUCGGAGCUUUGACGAUGAGGAAACAGAAAUCGGAGGGGCGUGGGCGUUGCGGUGGGGCUAGCGAAGCGUCUGGCGGGCGGAUUCGCGAAGAGAAGUGACGGAGCGAGGGUGUUGGCCAGCGGCGGCGUUGCUUUCCCGAGCUUUGGCUCGCAUGGCAGUAGAAAUGGCAAAGGGUUAAAUGGGAUGAGGGUGAGGUGGUAAAGAUACAUAACUUUUACCGUGCAUGUGUGCCACCUCGAUGACCUGCAGGCCUGCGUGGGCGCGGACGUGGUUGUUGCGCUGGUCGACGAGCAGAGGUGCCGGCGGCGGCACGGCUCUGUCCCCUAUUUCUUCUUUCUCUUCUUCGAAAUUCAGACCUCCACAUCGACCAAUUUCAAAUCCAAUCUCUCGAAGAUCCCUUCAGCAGUCUUGUAGAGUAAUCCAUGUACUUCAAUUGAUAGAUUGGCCGCUACCUGAAAUGAGCACCCUAACACCGAGAUUUUGAAGCUCAAAGUUUGACCAGAACCUUCUGUAACUGAACCUCGGUCAUUCAGUCUCGUCAAGGUCCAAAAUAGCAACUUCUUCCCUACUUUGAGCUCAAUUUAAAUUGCUUAAACUCCUUCCAUACAGCUUGAACCUUGCCUAUCCUUGUUCUACUACUGUUGGUGCUAGAAAUCGGCUGAUCGAAUUCCCAGCGUCGGACACACGACCCGGGAGAAUCUGCUUAGCUCCUGUUCGAGUGAUCACCCUGGUGCGGUUCGUGCAGCGUGCCAGCCAAUCUGACCUGUUGAUUGGCAAGGAAAGAAACGUGUCAGAUCCCAGAGGUUGCGAUCGGCUAAGGUUCCGAUCUCGAGAUAGCUUAUCAGUGAAUCGGCCGAUUUGCUGUAAUAAGGAAAUCGGCUAUAAUGCAGCCGAUUACCGGGCAGCGUUAAUAAAGAAGACUGCUGGAGUAAUCUAAACAAUGCUUAUAGUAACAACACUAGGAAUAGAUCUAAAUCGGCUAUGCGUAAAAUAAUAGAUUGAAUAACAAGGCACAGGAAAGCCGAAAGUUCCAAUUCCUAGCUGGAUAACUGGUGAUAAAACUAGAACUACAGGUAAAACCUAGAAUUCUAGUGGAUAUCGAUAACUGGUGAAUAAAUCUAAAUGAAACGACAGCGAUGCGCCCGAAGUUAAAGCUUAGAUAUUACUCGGUAAACGAAACUUACAGAAUCAGCCGGAGGUCAAGUUGAUGCAGCCUAGCCAACUCGUAUGAACUCGUGAAAAAGAAGAAAAGUAUUGGCGAAAUCGCCUGCUUGAAAGUAAGUGUGAGGAAAUAGUAGUUUGUUGUAUUGAUUUGAUGAUGAUUACAGAUCUACAAGGGUGGCUAUUUAUAGCCUGUUACAAAUGACUUCUUAACCGACUAGAACUCUAUCUCUAAUUUUAAACAAAAAAUGAAUAUUUACAAGUACGACUCGUACUGGGUCAAUCAUCAUGCUGUCAUGGGCUGACUCCCUUUUUACCUUCAUAAUCCACUUCAAGCCCACACCGGCCCAAUUCCUCCAGCCUCCUAAUCGGCCGAUUUCUACCAACUCCAUCGGCAAGGGACAGCCGAUUACGGCCCACAUGUCGGGGGUUCUGACUACUCCGACCCUGGGACCUAAGGUCGGGCGAGGUGGAGUCCCUCCCUUAGAGGGUCGGGCGCAUCCGACCCCAGGACUCAGGGGUCGGGCGAGGCGGAGUUGCACCCUUAAAGGGCAAUUGGCCAAUCCUUGACUGUAGCACCAAUCGGCCGAUUUCCAACCGUGACCUCUGUGUCUUGCCGCAUCUCCUGAGUUCUUCCUUUCCUGACGCCGAUUUCAUACGUGUCAAAAUAUGGCGUCAACAACUACUAACAAAGAUUCCAUUUUGCGCAUGAACUCAUAUACCUUUUACAUUGGAUUUUUCUUAAAUUUGCUCCAAACAUUGCUAAUCAAUGCCGUUUUUCAGACAACAUUAUUUCGGCAAGAAGCCUGAAAUCUGUGCAUUUGCUGAAUUUUGGGCUUCGCUUUAAAUUCGAACCUUCCACUUUCUCUGGCCAACAACAUUUCAUUUACCUUCUCUAUAGUCCAUAUUUCACUAAUGUCCAAAAACAUCUGCUCACUUACAAGAACAAUUCUCCAGAAAUUGGCUCCAAAGUUGUGUACUCAAUAUUAAUUUCAGAGUUACGCGUUUUCGGAUGACUAAGUGACUUUGUUGAUUCCAUAUUCGAUUGUAUUUAUGAGAGCUUUAUAACUUGAUUUAGACUUCAGAUUCAUUCCUUUGAGUUCUGAAUACUCUCAAGACUCUAUUUCCUAUUUUUGCCAAAUUUAUCCAAAUUUGAAACUCCAAAUUGCAAAUUUGGUUGAACUCGGCUCAAAUUCGAUUUUGGCUCAAAUUACCUUCCUUUAAUCCAACUUCACCAUUAGCUUCUUAAUGUGAUACUUAAGUUGUCAUUAACACUGGGUGUUACAGCCUCCUUGUCGCCCACCUCCGUCCCCGCCGCCUCCGUGCCCGCCAUCGCCCGCCGCUCUAGCCGCCGUUGCCUGCCGCCCUGGCCUACCGCCACCUCCUCCGUCGCGCCCCCUCAUUGCCACCUCCCUCUGCGCUGCCUCCUCAUCGCCGCCUCUCCAUCGCCACCUCCGUCGUCUGUGCCAGCUCCGACCCCGCUGCCACCGGCAUGCGCCGCCCCGACCUCCUCGUCUUCUGCAUUGCCACUCCAUCGCCCCGUCCGCCGUAGCUCGCCGCCAAGCCUCUGCCACCUGCCACCCCGGUGACGUGCGGCGCCACCCCCAUCGCGACCCCCGGCCCUCUCCACACGUACAAUGGGGCCCUUGCUGACGCUAGGGCCCUUUUUUAUUUUUUUAGUUAGAAAAUCAGUAUGAUUAGUACAAAAUCAGUAGGAAAUUACUAUUAUUAGAUGAAAAUCAGUAGGAAAUUACAAUAAUUUAGUUCAGAUGCUUAGUAUAAUUUUGUAUACAUUUUGUAUAACUUUGAGAAAUUACUACCUUUUAUUAUAAAUGAUUCGAAAAUUAGUAGAAAUUUGUAGCAAUGCUUAAGAUUUAUUCAGGAUAAGUUCUUAGUAUGAUUUUGUACACAUUUAGUAUAAUUUUUAGUACAUUAAUAUUAUUUAGUACAAAUGCUUCAAAAAUUAGUAAAAAUUAGUAGAAAUUUGGUAGAAAUUCUUAGAAAUCAGUAGAAGUUUGUAGAAAUUUGGUAGACAUUCUUAGAAAUCAUUAGAAAUUUGUAGAUACACUUCAAAUUUGGUACAAAUUCUUAGAAAUUAGUAGAAAUUUGAAGAAACACUUCAAAUUUGGUAGAAUUGCUUAAAAUUAGUAGGAAUUAGUAGAAAUUUGGUAGAAAUUCUUAGAAAUUAGUAGAAACACUUCAUGUAGGAUUCGUUCAAGACAUUUCAUGUAAGUUUCAUUCAAGACUUUCAUGUAACUUUCUUGUAAGUUUUCAUGUAAGUUUCAUUAAAGACAUUUCAUGUAUGUUUCAUUCAAGAUAUUCAUGUAAAUUUCUUGUAGGUUUUCAUGUAAGUUUCAUUAAAGACAUUUUAUGUAAGUUUCAUUCAAGACAUUCAUGUAAAUUUCUUGUAAGUUUCAUGUAAGUUUCAUUUCGUGUAUGGUUUCAUGUGUAGAUUUCAAUCAGUUUGUUUUUUUUUCAUGGUUGUUCUAUGAUUUCAUGUAUAUACCUUAACGUACAUGUAACUAUGAUUUCAUGUGUGUUUAACGUAGUUGAGAUGGCAGACGACAAGACCGCAAGCUAUCUAAUGGAGCAGAUUAUUGCUGAUGGUAGUGGCUCCAACCUUCCCGUAACGUACAUCGAUAAAGAGGGUACCUAGGCGAACAUGUUCCUCAACAUGUCUAGCGAUGGCAAUGAAGAGCCUCAGCCCUAGCAAAACCUUAUCGUGAUGGAAGGUUCCAGCGAGGUAUAUAUCAUUUCCAUUGUUUUACCCCAUCUAUAAUGUCUUAUUCAUUAUUAUUAUAUACUAAUUAACGAAUCUUGAACUGUUAGCCCUCUGGAUCGAUGAACCGUCAUAAGCCCCGAGGCCGUACAAAGGUGAUGGAUGGAGGGCUUAUCAUCAUGGAAGUCACAGAAGAGGGCAAGCCGGUUGCUCCCGAAAACAUGGCAAAAAAGUACGUGAGCCAGAUCGAGGCAAUCGUAAGGGACAACGUGCCCAUCAACAUCAUGGAAUGGAGGGGUGAAAGUACUAAUGCAUACGCGCUCUCGGAUACAGAAAAGGAAAUGUUGUGGUUAGAUGUUAAGAAACAUUUCACAUUUUCCCGAAGGAUGUAAUGAAGAUUAUGUGAAAUCGUGGAUGCUGAAGAAGAUGGCCACACAAGAAGGGCUGAUGUCCACAAUUCAAUGAGUGGUGAGGGACCACUGGGAGUCAUUUGUUGAAUACAAGACGAGCGAAACGGUGCGAACAAGGUUCGCACCAACUUUGUAAAUGCUGGCAAGAAGGAGUACCAUCAUUGUCUAGGGCGAGGUGGUUACAACACUACAAUUUCUAGAUGGCGCAAGAUGGAACAAGACCUGAUUGAUUGGGGUAUCCUACCAGCAACUCUUGAAUAUCCUGAUCGAUCGAAAAAUUGGUAUUACGCUCAUGGAGGCAACAUGAGCCAAGAGGAUGGGACACUGAUCUUCAAUGAGACAAUAUGUCAGAAGGCCAAAAGGCUUAUCAAGAACAUUGAAGAUGACACGGCUGGGAGUUGAAGGUGGACCGAGAGAAUAAUGAGCUAACAUUGGCCCAAGAAUCCCGAGCACCUAGGAUAUUGCCGAGGGUACGGGGUCAUUCUGUGGAAGUUCGCUUUUCGAGGCGACAUGUACUCAUACAGAAGCCGCAAGCGAAGAAAGGAAUAGCAAGAGGAGAGCUGGCGGCGCAUGUUAGAAUCCAAAGUGCAUUCACAUGAAGUAAGAAUGCAGGAGGAAAUCAAUCAUCGAGUGGCCCUAGCAGUUGCGAAGUUGGCCCAAUCUAGAGCACUACCGGAUCCAAACGUUAGAUGAGCAACGGUUCUUUGUGGCUGUGAUCACGCAACGCACCUCAUGUGAAUGGCAUAAACUGGUCGGCAACGUCACCAUUAAGGUAUACUUAUACAUAAUAAUUAUGCAAUCUUCUCAAUCCAUCCACGCCUCGGGAGUUUAAUAACUUCUUUAUUUCUACUAUAUGUACAAGUGGCAUACGAGAGUGCCUUACCAAUCCUGCCAGGGUAGACAAGCGAUGCCAUGGAGGUUCUACCUGGCUACGCUAGCGUCAGCCUAGAGCUGCUCGUUGAUAGCCAAUAUGAAGGCCUAGAGCUCGACCUCCCGGGAGGCGAUAGGGAAAGGACACUAGGAGAUGCGCUUCACGGGAUCAUUCUAUGGUGCAAAUGUUACAUCAUCAUCCCCGGCAUGGAGGCAUCAUUGCUCCCCGUAGAUCCCCAGCAGCGACCAUCUCCUCAAAGCUCAAGAUCGUCAUCUCCAACACGGCCUUCUCCAGGACCGUCAUCUCCACCACAACUUGCUCCAGAACCAUCAUCUCCAGCACAACCAGCUCCAGGACUGUCGUCACCACCGGGACCGUCUCUUCCUGCUCGAUCACGGUCUCCAUCUCCAGCACAUCCUAGUGGUGCGAGCGACGAUGACAAUAACACCCCUUCCCAAUCACCAUCUCCAGGACUAAGAGCUGCAUCGAGCAAGGAACCUGUAGCAACACUUAAGAAGUCGCAACCACCGCCUCCCAAGCCAAGACAGAGAAAGAAGAAAACAAACGAGCCUGAAUUGACUCCUGACAAAUGUAGGGAGGAGAAAAUGCAUGAGGAUUGCUGGCCCAAACCAAAGCAGAAUGCAGGGAGCGGUUCAAGAAAAUGGCCGAAGAAAGAAAAGCAAAGGCGAUGGAGCCACCGCCAGUAGAUUGAAGACAAUUAAAUUUUUUUAUAAAGAUGUCAGAAGAAGCCAAGAAGAUGCUGCCACCUUAAACUACGAUCGGGUGUUAGUCAAGGCUGAUGAGAGGAAAAAAUGGAAAGGAAAGUCGUCUUCAAGGGGUACUAUCCUCCACCUUAGACAUCUACCGAAAAAGACUCUCAAAAGAAAGCAUCAAUGCUAGCAAUGCCCUUGGAUCAAUAAGACCAAGUAGUGAAAUUCAUACAAGAAACAGGAAUGUCCUUUUCUGAAUGUCUAGGGCAAAGUGAGCCACCAGCUGCAUAGCCAGUUGAACCGAAAUGGACCUUUUGAGCUAGGCAAGUCUCUGGUAAGGCCUGAGUUGAUAUGGAAACUAUCAACAAAGAUGUACAAAUUCCAUGAAUGGUACAUCAAGCAGUCCAUCGUUGACAGGGAAAUAUUCGACCUUAAGGUCAAACCAAUAGCCUGGUUGACGUCUCUCUCAUCAGCGCUUGGGCUCUGCAAGUGUUCGUUUAUCUAUGUGUAAAUUUUGGCUCAUAUCAUUAUUUUUUGUGCAUGCAUCGCCCUGCUAACUUCGUCUUCCAUUUUAUGUAGGAUGCUAAUUCAGAUGUGCUGACGAGAAGUGUACUUCCAUGUUGGCUUCAUGGAUCCAUCCCUAGUUAACCAACACAAGAUAUGGGAUUUUCCAGAGAAAACGUUGAUGGAAGUAUACAAUUUCCUGGACAAACAAAAUUACAGCAAGGAAUACAUCCUACUUCUAUACAACUUCAAGUAAGUGUGUGUAUACCAUCUAUUUUUAUUUUCUUUUUCCUUACCUGAUUAAUGUUAGUUAGCUCUAAUAUGAACAAUUACGUACGCAGUUUCCACUGGAUCCUCCUAAUAAUUGAGCCUGAUAGAAGCCACAUCACUGUCUUCGAUUCAUUGAGGAAACCACCGAAGGAGUACCAAGAUGUUCAAGACAUGCUAAACUUAAUAAUUCUGGACUUUAUCUCUGUGCAAAAGUUUGUUUCCUAAAUUUUCACCUAACACUGUAUCAUUCAUUAACACAAAGGUCCAUUCAAAGAAAAACUUACAUGGAACACAAACUUCCUGGCAUGUAUGAAGUUUGCAUAUUUUGUACAUUAUAUAGCAUGAAUAUUUCAUAACUUGUUUUUCCCCACUGUAGUGCUUAAGACAGGAACUCAAAAAUAAUCUAUGUGGCUACUAUGUCUGUGAGCACAUGCAUAGUUUUUUGGGACACAAGGUACUAAAGAUGACGCCGCACAACUAUAACGUACGUAAAAGAAAACUAUUAAUAGUUAAAUAUUUUCUAGCUCCUUAUAUUUAAUUGUUCGUGUAACAUUCACAUAUUUCCAGAUUACAGAUGCAUAAUAUUCAACAAAAACUCUUGGAGAAGGAAAGAAUAAUGGCAAUAUAUGAAGGUCUCAUGGGAUUCCUGGUGGACGAGGGGGUACAUCAACAAGGAGAAUUUUAUUACAAUGGACGAAAAUUAGACGCACUGAGCAACACCACGACGGGAAGAUCCAAGGAAUGACUGAGGCAAAUUUUUGUAUAUAUAUAUAUACUAAUUGUAUAAAUACUAUGCUAAGAUUUGUAUAGUAUGCUAAGAAUUGUAUAUAUACUAAGAAUUGUAUAUAUAGUAAUUGUAUAAAUACUAGUUUGAUUUCAUAAUAAAAAAAGUCUUAACUAAACUAAAGGGUACGUGAUGCAUGAAAUUACAGGUGCCUGCCUGCAUGGCGCCUGUAAUUUCAUGCAUGCACUUUAGUCCCGGUAGAAAAAACCAACCGGGACUAAAGGGAGCACCCUUUACUCCCGGUUGGUAAAACCAAUGAGGACUAAAGGGGCCUGUCCCGCGCCUGGCGUGGCAGCCCCUUUAGUCCUGGUUGGUUUUACCAACCAGGAUUAAAGGGUGUCUUUAGUCCCAGUUGAGUGACCCGAGACUAAAGACCCCCCAUUCGUCUUGAUUGCUUUAUCCCGGAUGGAUUUUCGGGAAAUUUUAUCCCUACCAACCAGGACUAAAGGUGAGUUUUCUACCGGUGCCUGUUCUAUCUCACUCAUUUGUCCUGUAGCUACAAGCUAAGGCCCCAUGUCAUCUAUGGCUUCUGUCCUGUAGCUACUAGCUAAGCCCCCGUAUCAUCCAUGGCUUCUGGUGCCUCCACCACACUGAAGAUGGCCUCUAUCGCCCCUUGCAUCCUGCUGGUCCUGCUGUCCAAUGGCCACCCUACGAUGGUGGCCGUUGAUUGUGUUGCGGUUUGCAAAGACCCGUGCCAGAGCUUUUCUAACGGGUUCUGCGCGGGUGGAGCCACUGGCGGUUGCACAACUACGGCAGCAGCUACAGCAUGCCGCAAUUUGGCGUUCUCGCAGUGUGCGAACAACUGCUUCAUAGUUUGCACUGCCGAGAUCAUCACGCCUUGCACUUGAAGAUGCAUUUGUGUUCCUACUUCCAUGUUAUUGUUACUGCAGAAUAAUAUGGAUAAAUACGUGCAAGCAGGCCUGCCGUCCGCGGGAGGAGGUACGCAAGCACGCAUGAUGAGCCACUGUUGUUUUUCCAUUUUAUCAUUUACUUAUUGAAGGCAAUGUACGUGCCUAUCUCCUGUGUGGUUGAGCAUGUCAUGUUGGAAUUCUGUCCAAAGUUUUACAUACCAUCUUGUAUUGUUGUGUAUGCGUAUCAAUAUAAUUUAUGAACUAUUUUCCUUUACCAUAGACAUUUCUAUGUUUAUUUGCAAGCACUACUAGAGAACUGACUUUAGAUCCCACCCCCUUUAGUCUCGGUUUAAUUUCGGACCAGGAGAAAACGGGGUGCGCCACGGUAGGCUAGAAUGGGGUGCACCUUUACUCUCUAUUCUUUUUUUGCAACCGGGACUACAGGCCACCCUUUAGUCUCAGUUAAAACGGCUAGUUAUUGGGCACCGACGGCGUCACCCUUUACCCCCGGUUGGAGCCACCAACUAGGACAAAAGAUCCAACCUUUUGUCCCGGUUGGAAAAUCCAACCGGGAUAACAGGUUUACUCCCAGUUGGUAAUUCCAACCGGGACAAAAGGUUGGAGCUUUUGUCCCGGUUGGUGUUACGAACCGGGAGUAAACACCAACCGGGAGUAAAGCUCUAAUCUUUUGUUCCAGUUGGAUUUACCAACCGGGGUAAAAUCUUAUCUACAAGAGGCCUUUCUUCCUCCUCCACUCCUCCAGCCCGAGCCACUCCACUCCACAAAGACAGAGAACCUCAUCCUCUCCAUGGCGCCGAAGCAAGCCUAGGGGAGGUGCUGCUGAAAUUUUUUUUCCUUAUUUCCGUGGGGAUUUCAUUCAUCCAAAGUGUUGUGAAGGUUAGCUACUUCAUGCUCCGUUCAUUUAUUGUUGUUAAGCUUUGUUUUAUACUUUAAAGAGGGAGAAAAAUGAGUUUGUUUAUUGUUAAGCAUGUAGAGGAUUUGUAUUUAUACAUGUUUUUGAGCUACAAUGUGAUGGAUAGUUUGAAUGUGAGGGAGAAUGGACAGUAAAUGUGAGGUAGAAUUGAGAUUAUUUCAAUUUUAUGUAUUAGGGAAAAAUUAGAGCAAAUGUGUUUUUAAUACUUAUAAAUUAGCCAUAUAAAUUGUAGGUGUAAUUUCAUACUUUAGUACUUUUCAAAUAGAGGUAUGCAAUUUGCCAUUUUUAGAAUAAGUACAUUAUGUGGGAAAUAUUGAAUUUUUUAAUAGUUUAGUUAUUUCUAAAUUAAAUAUGAGCUAAAUAAUUUGUGUAUUUCUAUGUAAACUUUCAGCAAUAUUUGAGUUUGUCGUAGUGUAUCAUGUUGUUUGCUUCUGAAAUUUUAAUUUGUGUAUUUCUAUCUAAAAUUUUAGCAAUGUGAUGGAUAGUUUUAUUGUAAUACAUUUUAUUGAUGGCUUGCGUAAUACGAUGCAGAUGGACCAGCAAUGGAUGUAUAACGCGGACAGGCAGAGCAAGGUGUUUAUUGCUGGCAUGAAUAAUUUUCUUGAAGUGGCCAAAGCGAACAAACCAGGGAACGGGUUCAUAUCUUGUCCAUGUGCCCAAUGCAGUAACCAGAAGUGCUAUUCAAAGGCUUCCUAGGGGACUAUUCAUAGCCACUUGUUUAGAUACGGUUUCACGCCUAACUAUUUGGUUUGGACCCGUCACGGUGAAAGAGGGGUUGUAAUGGAAGAUGGUGAAGAGGAGGAGGAUGAUGACAACAUUCCGAACUGCGCUACAGUCUAAUCUUUUGUAGAUACUACUGUGGCGGAUCCACUUCGGAUCUACUGGGUUAAACAUGAUUUAGCCGCCUGAUAUGCGACGCUCAUGCCUAAGCUGAGUAAACACGAAGUGCCAUCGGAUUUUACUCCGAUUUAACCACUUGAACAGGACCGGUUUAGCAGACUCACACGAAGGUGAGCGGUUCCAGAGAGUACAACGAGUCCACCAAGUUAACAAAUUAACCACUGGAUUUAGUUACGAAAAGGACGUCAGAGUUUUACAAGAUUUCGGAAAACAACAGAAAGUAAAACACUAGCAGAAGCAUUCGUCGGGGUCGGAUGUCCUGGUGAGGCCGGCUGGGACAUCACUGAUCCCUCUCCUCGCCGUCCGAGGAGGGAUCCCACUCGACCGUCCAGCCCGGCGGGAGCUGGGGCAGCCAAGCGCCAGCAAGAGAGGGGUCGGGAGCAGCAGCUUCACCUGAAAAACAGGAGCCACAACAAGGCUGAGCUACUAAGCUCAACAAGACUUAACCGAUAGGAGUAAAACUACUCCUCCUAGACAUGCAGGGCUUUUUUGGCUGAGGGGUUUGGUUGCCGAAAGCUCUAAUUGAAAACCCUAUUUUCAAGUUUUAGCUCCGGUUCUAGGUUCAUUUACCAGUCUAGGUUUUGCAACCUAUUCUAAGCAAUCGUGGAACCAAACAAGAUGUGUAGAUAUAUCAACAAACAUGUCAUCAUCAGAUUCCUCAUUUACUCAGGGUGACAUAGCGAUCAAGCAAUCUCAAACUGUGAGAGGCAGACGAAUCGAUUCGAGUUCUUUAACCAUGCAUGGUGAACCUAGCCUCAUGACAUCCACGUACCCGGAGGUCGCUUCCUGUGUCGGCCUUCCCCAUCAAUCCCCUAACCCGUGUCGGGCCUAUUUCCUUUGGUGCAAGGUUCCACAGACCCGGCCUCUGCCGUUCUGGGGCCACGCAUGCCACCACGUGCGACAUCCAGCAGGGGAAACUCCGUUCCAAGAAUAAUGGGGCGACCGCUCACGUCUAGGUUCAAUCCGGUACUAGGCUUCCUCAUCCCAUACUAAGUAUGAGGCUAGUACUUUCAAACACUUGAUCACGAACACCACCACUGUCGGACCUUAGCAAGUUUUUCAUAGACAGACGGGGCAACCAUCCGUCCACCAAAGAGUUACCCAAACCCUGCCCCAUCCAUCGUCCUUAUAGUUGUAACAGAAAGGUAGACAUCCAACUCCUACAACUCGCGAGUGACAGGGAAUCACUCGACUUUUACCGUCUCCUAGUUAAGCAAUGCAACUACUCGGUCUAACAGCUAGUGCUCACAUCAUGGGGAUAACUAAGCCAUGUGUCUAGGGUUUCAAACAACUCCUAUACGUAAAUGCACAAACAUAUUACAGAAGGCAUGCGCAAGUUUGGUAAAACACACAGGGUUUUCAUGCAACUGGGGCUUGCCUUCGAGCAAGGAGGAAGAGAACUGCUCGAUUUCUAGGACGGCUUCGGCUUCAGCGGGCAAGAACUCAGCUACAGCUUCAUCUUCUGGCGCCGGGUGCAGCUCGUAGAAGCUGUCGGCGAGGCGCAGCUCUACACGAAUGCAAUGCAAGAGUUAGCAUAGAUGGUUAUUUCAACAGCAACACUUGCUCGCCUGAGCCCAGAAACUCGCGACAAAGAGCAGGGGGGUUGGGGAGGUUCAAGAGAGCGGGUGAGGAUCAAGAGGCAAGGGUCGGAAAGGAAACUUAGGAUCUGAUCCUUGAACUAGAGGAUGCGGUAUACUAGGGAUCCUCAGACGCAAGCGCUGAAGGGUUCCUAAGUUUUUGCACAUACACCCUCGGGUUGAAGAAAAGAUCACAGCCGAGCCCUUGGGCAAGGCGGAUAAGGGUCGGCGGGACAGAUAGGGUCGGGCGAGACGGAACCGGGGUCGGGCGGAUAAGAGGGGUCGGGCGAAGCGGACUGGGGUCGGUAGCUUACCUUCUUCCUGAAAGGAAGGCUUGGGGUCGGGAAGAGGCAGACUUGGGCGGAGGGACUAAAGCUUUGAACACGGCUAAGACUGGCAGUGCUCCGGCGGCGGCGGUGCUUCUUGCAGAUCACAAGAGAGCUUUUGCGCAGCACGGAGGAGCAAGCUGCUGGGUGACUUGGGGAAACUGAGGGGAGCUGAGGGGAGGGUUCCUCAAGAACAUAUGUCACUUUAGUAUUAGGCAAGGAUGUGAUUAUAUGAUUAUAUGGACUGAUACCGGUUAAAAGAUCAUUAUCUAAUCAACCAUUCACGUCGCCCAUAGUGUAGGCAACAGGCCAUUCUAUUGCGAUCCUCUGUCGCCUAUCGCUUCCCUUGAGAAUUUGAAGUCAGAAAUUCUUUUGUUUCAAUUUUGCUAGGUCCACUAGUUUUCUUAAAUCAGAAUCAAGUUGAAACCAGAAGAGCCUUGUUAGCUUGUUUGAUCUAUACUUCGUUGUAGCAAAUGUAAAAUGACAACUCAUAUAAUGGUUGUUUCAUAUUCGAUCUGCAAGUCUUCUUCUCAUUCACACGAUGGAUGGCCAUAGGCACAAAGAGAAUCGAAGUAGUAGACCAUAAUCACUAUAGUAAAAGCUUAAAAUCUCAAAAUAUGUCAUCAUUUAUUUUUCAUUAUGUUAUCCAUAGAACUAUAGUAUGAGUUAGAAUAUUGCAUGGACAUCAGAUCAGCUACAACAUUUCCUAGCUUCGCCCUUCGCCGCCCCUGCAGCAGCUAGCCCAAUCCAGGAAAUGUAUUUCCCAGGUGGGGGUGAGCAGACCCUGGAAAUAAGCUGGGGACGGACCAGCACGUCAACCGUCUCUGAAAAUAGCCCAUUUCAGAGGUGGGCAACUCCAUGGUCCGUCCUAGCAGAUUGAAUUACAGGAGCAGACGACACGAAGCAUCACCCUGCUGCUCAACCAAAUUUUGUAUGGACAACGCGCAAAUGAAAAGGCAAGCGGAAAGCAUAAGGUCCAUUCUGCUCCGCACAUAUAUCUUAUCUCAACCACAGCUUUCCAUGUCAUCUCCUUAGAGAAACUCCGACAGAUUGAUUUUCCACAUUCCCCUUUAUCCUCUUAUAGGGCAUUCCCUUUCACGAUUUCUGAAUUUUGAAGACUAGUGGGGCAAGAAAUUUUGUAUAGUAACAAAGAUAAUCUCAGCCCCACUUGCUACACAUACAUGCACGGUAAAUAGAAAGGGUUAUUUUCUAUGUCAAAGGCAUGCUCAGCUUCAAAGUCGUUCUGUUGUUAGCAUCGUUGUGUUGUUUCUGCUAACGUGCAGGAGGAAGCGAAAACACAGAGUAGAAAGAGGAUGAGAAAUUAAAGAAGACAAUGAAGCUCACGUUCACGUCUACAUGAGGGAGCUCUCACACAAGCAAGUCCAUUCAUCCUCUGUCUCCAUGCUGUUGAUGAUGACAUGUCACAUGUCCUUUGCCUUGACGUCGGCGGCAGGCCGGCAGCCCAAUGAACCCAUGACGAACAGCAUGAGCAUGACCAGCUAACUUCAUUGCUGAGUACGACAUGUGGUUAUCCUUGCUAUAACUAAUGUUGGUCAGAAGAAGAAGCUGCUAUAAAGUUGUUCUGAAGACGCUGAGUUCUAGGCGUACGCAAGCCCCGGUUGAUUGCCUGCGAAGUUUGGAUCCUUCGUUUCCAGGAUUAAGCUGUAAAUCUCCGAUAGACUCUCUUUAUAUCUCUUUAUGUGAUACUGUUACUGUUAUUCACUGAUGAUGUGACUAUAUGUAUGAAACUUGAUCAUGUCAUACAUACAGUUAGCACUUGGUUUUGCUGUUCUAAAAUCAGAUGUGACACCUAUGAACCCAUGACGAACAGCAUGAGCGUAACCAGCUAACUUCAUUGCUGCUGCCUUUCGUAGAUGUUGGUGAACAUGACGUGUCUUUCAUCUCCACGAUGGCGACGGAUCCAAAGAUCGAAGAACAUGCAUCAACGCGAUCCGUAUGGCGUGUUUUCUGGUAUUUCCACCCCAUGAUGUAACGCCGACCGGGUUCCAUACGAGGCCUACGGCCAGUCUGUUCACUUUCAUCAUGUGCUCCGAUGAGAGUUCAUCACCGUGAUAAAAGACGGAGACGAGGGCACACAGUCGUAGCUGCAAGUAAGGCCAACAGGCUGAAGGCCAUGGCUUUACAGCCAGCAGUCCACCCUUGCAUGCACUCACGGACUAUUACCGAACUAGCAAUUGGUACUUUGACGCGCUACAUGGACCCUUACAAAAUUAAAAAAAUGAACGUCAACAAGCAAAUGAAACUGCAUGAACUGAAGUAGGGAAAUGAAGACCACGUACAGUUCUUAUUGAAGCUGAAAUGUAUGUCAUAAAAGUAUUAUUGUUAGAUUGAAGUCAAUUUAAAUAUUUAAACGAGUAACGAGGGCUCGGAUUAGUAGAAGGUGUUAGUAAGGCCCUCCAAUAGACCACUCAAUGAUUUUUAGAUCCAACUGUUUAUAUAGUAAGUUCGGAUAUUUAAUUAAUAAAUUGAAGUUGCCUUAAGAUAUGCAUAGUAAAUCACAAGACCAAAGUGGAAUAACCAUUAGACAACUAAUAAAACCAUCAUUAAGUUUUUGUCUACUUUUAGCAAUAUUGCUUAGGUUUUCUAUUUCGUCUAAAUAUAUCUUAAGCGGCUCAUAUGUCCAAAUUACCCACACAGUGAAUAAAUGUCGUUCCAGUUCAAGGAUUCAUGUGGAGUUGUCACACACUAGUGUGAACCCAUCAAGUGUGUGUCUUGCUUCCCUUUUCAAUCAACAAGCUACCUCCCUGAUUUGAAUAUAAUAAACUUAAAUGCUUCAGUUUCUAUGGUCCAUUGUUAUGUGAUGGACAUGAAAAAUGAAAAAUAUAGCCUACAAUGUUCAAAAUGCAUCUGAAGUACUAGGGUAUAAAAUAAGCUCACUGCCAUCCAAGUACAAGGGUUAACAACUAGAAAUAUAACCUUUAUUGCUAUCUGUAAACAAAAUAUGCCUGUUGAAUUACAUGUCGGGAAAGGUGAAUGCACGGAUUAACGGCUAGUAUUAGCUAAUUUUGUUGUCUUUUUUGUUAAUAACUAGGUUUCCAAUGCCAAACUCUGCGUAAGGGUUCAGCAACUGGCUACAUAUUGGAAAGGAGUUACUGUUGGUGGCUAGCCCUCAUAAGAGAUAACUAUUUCAUUCCUGAUGCCUUCCAUGCCUAUGGAUGUACCGCGUGCUCGAGUAAGCUAUGCUUGCAGAUGGAUCUUAAACCUGAUGUCAAAUUGUUUAUAAUUGAAAGAGUUUGCUGUUUGUCUGCUUUAGGGAAGAUGGGUAGCACGUUUAUAUGCCAUUAAUUCUCAUGAAAGAGUGCAUAUACCAUGUUUGUCGCAGCAAGAUGAGGCUGUAGAGUAGUAGAAGUGUAGAACAAUGGUACAGGUUGUAUGAAUAAUUUAUUGAAGGGAAUCAUAGACGCCACAGCCACUGAAGCUGUCGGGGCAUGAUUAGCCAAUGGUCUAAUUCCUGAUAUCUCCGUAUCCUAAUUUUCUGAAGCCUUACGGACUCUACCCUCCUCACUUCAUAUAUAUUAGUGUUUAUAAUAGCGGUUUUAUAAGAAGUGCUGAAGGUAUUGGUCCUGCUAUAUCUUGCUUCCACUACCGGAUUUGUGUACGAAAUAUUAAUUCUUGAGAUUUGUCAAUGAUUUUAGGAAGCAAUGAUACCUUCAACUACCGGAUUGCAUAUAUAAGUUAGUCUUAGCCAGUUAUAUAUCAGAGGAGGAAGCACGCAUUAAAUAAUAAAUAACUCAUGUUGAUUCAAUUGGUAACCUGGCCUCUAAAAAGAAAAGGACUCUGUGCUCAAAAAAUGAAAAAAAGUAGCCUGCUAAUAACAAUGUCGACACUUUACAUCUGAGCAGCUAGCUCCGUGAUGCUUUAUCUGGCUAGUGAACUACCUACCUAUGUUAUUUAAACAUUUUUGCUGCCUAUAAAUUGGGCAUCAUUUCAGCAGACCACCACAGCACCUGAGCUUGCCAUCUUUUCCUGUUCUAUCUCACUCAUUUGUCCUGUAGCUACUAGCUAAGCCACCAUAUCAUCCAUGGCUUCCGGUGCCUCCACCACGUUGAAGAUUGCCUCUAUCGCCGCUUGCAUCCUGCUGGUUCUGCUGUCCAAUGGCCACCCUACAGUGGCGACCGUUGAUUGUACUGCGGCUUGCAAAGAGCCGUGCGAGAGCUUUUCUAAGGGAUUCUGCGCGGGUGGAGCCACCAGCGGUUGUGCGACUAAGGCAGCAGCUACAGCAUGCCGCAAUUCGGCGUUCUCGCAGUGUGCGAACAACUGCUACACAGUUUGCACCGCCGGGACCAUCGCGCCUUGCGCUUGAAGAUGCAUUUGUGUUCCUACUUCCACAUUAUUGUUACUGGUGAGUGUGUGCAAGCAGGCCUGCCGUCCACGGGAGGAGGCACGCAAGCACGCAUGAUAAGCCACUGUCAUUUUUCCACUUUAUCAUUUACUUAUUGAAGGCAAUGUACGUGCCUAGCUCCUGUGUGGUUGAGCAUGUCAUCUUGGAAUUUUGUCCAAAGUUUAACAUACCAUGUUGUAUUGUUGUGUAUGGGUAUCAAUAUAAUUUAUCAACUAUUUUGCGUUUACCAUAGACAUUUCUAUGUUUAUUUGCAAGGGUUAGGGAAAUUUGUCCUUGAUAGUGUACUAACCGCGUCUGCCAACUGAACAGAUCAACUUUCUCAACAGCCUAUCUCCUCCUUGAAAAAAUAUUCGUUUUAGAAAUGGUUUGUUUCUUUUCUGUAUAGCUCUAUCACCCAUCACCGUGAGGGUUACAAAACUCGGCGCAAGCGUUCCAAGCUGUGGCGCCACAAACCACAUAAGCUGUGGCGCAAGGGUUCUAGCUGGCUAGUCACAAAAAACUAUUUCAUCCCGGAUGUCUUCCAUGCCCAUGGACCUGCCGCUUUCUUGAUCGAGUAAUCUAUGCCCAUGAAAGGGUUCGGUAUUUGUCUGAUCGAGGAAGACGAGGUAGCACAUUUAUGUGAAAGCAGUACUGGCGGACAUGAUGGUCGGUGGCCUAUUGAUUAUCUUCCAACUCCUUUAUGCCAUUAUCAGUACUACAGAAAUCAUUUGUAGGGGUGAAGUGUUUUUUUUUAGGGUGGACCAAAAGGUCUGCCGCCCCCAGGGGCGGAGCUACAGUCAACCAUCGAUGAUUUGGUCGCGAGCUCUUAUAUCCUUCCCAGGAGAACUGCCCAUACGUUGCUACGGAUAAAAAUAAUGUAUAUAAUUACAUUAAUCAUGAUUUGUUAUUUCAAAUGUGUGACAUAUUAUCGAAUUUACGUAUCUUUCUAUGCAUUUUUCGAACAAAGAGAUAUUUUUAUAAUAAUUUUAUCAGAUUAACAUGAGACAUAAUCUUCUAUGGUAUAUUAUGUACUCUAGUAUGUAAAUCUUAUGUUUGUUUGUGUAGUCUUCUACGUUGCUCGCUUUUUAUAAUAAAAGUAGAGAGAGGUGUGCGCCUGUGAACAACAAAAACCCAAAAAUGUACACAAUAAUCAAUAAAUUAUAAUUAUUAUUUUUUCCUAGAAUAAAAAUAUGGACUCAUCGAGCCCAUGAAAAGCGCAAGGAGGUGGCCCGGCAGCCCCAUCCAUCCAUCCAUUGUUAUCCACACUUGCUAAACAAAUGAAUUAAAAACAUAAUUUUAUCAACACAAGAGACGGAUUAAUUGUUUGGUACUGAACUUUCUUGGACGUUGCUGUUGCUGGAUUCGGCAUUAGGAAGGCGUCGCUCGGCCGUGCAGAGGUGCCAUUGUGGCUUUGUGGAGGCACCCCUACGUUGUGUCGGAGCGGAGCUGCAGGCAGCGUAAGCGGCCGGGUAGCACGCCACAACAUGCUAGAGACAGCGCCGAGCCUUGAGCCUUCGACUGGGGCUGCUUAUAGAGCCAACACCGCUCUGUAUCUUGCUCAGUGGAUGCGCGGACGACGGCGAGCGGCGCCUAGGAGAACUGCAAAUGCUCCUGCACACAUGCCCCAUGGGCCGGAACUGCACACUAACCCCCGCGAACGAUGGUAGUAGGGCAACAAAGCUGGCCAUGGCGCUGCUCGUUGAGCUUUCCGUGUGCGCGAACAGGCAUUUGAUAUGUUCCCUACAAAAUUAAAGGUUGUUUGAUUCAACGGUCAAAUAGUGCGAGCAUGUUAAUUGAUGCGAGUGUAUUGUGGGAACUGCCAAGGAACUGCAGGGCAUCGAGCAAGCAGUGGUGUUGCUCGGAAGUACCAGCACUAACGCGCUUUCCGAUGUGUCUCCAGCGGGGGUGGCAGCGUCUGCCUGCUGGGCAGCAGUUUCACCCUAUUCUGGGCAUCUCCCCACCCGUCUUGGCCAUCAUUACCUCUAGCAUCGUUAAGGUAUGGCUUCCUUUCAGCCUCGGCCGUUUCUUUCUCCAAUGACCGGUUAAAAGAUCAUUAUCUAAUCAACCAUUCACGUCGCCCAUAGUGUAGGCAACAGGCCAUUCUAUUGCGAUCCUCUGUCGCCUAUCGCUUCCCUUGAGAAUUUGAAGUCAGAAAUUCUUUUGUUUCAAUUUUGCUAGGUCCACUAGUUUUCUUAAAUCAGAAUCAAGUUGAAACCAGAAGAGCCUUGUUAGCUUCUUUGAUCUAUACUUCGUUGUAGCAAAUGUACAAUGACAACUCAUAUAAUGGUUGUUUCAUAUUCGAUCUGCAAGUCUUCUUCUCAUUCACACGAUGGAUGGCCAUAGGCACAAAGAGAAUUGAAGUAGUAGACCAUAAUCACUAUAGUAAAAGCUUAAAAUCUCAAAAUAUGUCAUCAUUUAUUUUUCAUUAUGCUAAAAGAUGGAGAUGAGGGCACACAGUCGUAGCUGCAAGUAAGGCCAACAGGCUCAAGGCCAUGGCUUUACAGCCAGCAGUCUUGCCUUGCAUGCACUCACGGACUAUUACCGGACUAGCAAUUGGUACUUUGACGCACUAUAUGGACCCUUACAAAAUUAAAAAAAUGAACGUCAACAAGCAAAUGAAACUGCAUGAACUGAAGUAGGGAAAUGAAGACCACGUACAGUUCUUAUUGAAGCUGAAAUGUAUGUCAUAAAAGUAUUAUUGUUAGAUUAAAGUCAAUUUAAAUAUUUAAACGAGUAACGAGGGCUCGGAUUAGUAGAAGGUGUUAGUGAGGCCCUCCAAUAGACCACUCAAUGAUUUUUAGAUCCAACUGUUUAUAUAGUAAGUUCGGAUAUUUAAUUAAUAAAUUGAAGUUGCCUUAAGAUAUGCAUAGUAAAUCACAAGACCAAAGUGGAAUAACCAUUAGACAACUAAUAAAACCAUCAUUAAGUUUUUGUCUACUUUUAGCAAUAUUGCUUAGGUUUUCUAUUUCGUCUAAAUAUAUCUUAAGCGGCUCAUAUGUCCGAAUUACCCACACAGUGAAUAAAUGUCAUUCCAGUUCAAGGAUUCAUGUGCAGUUGUCACACACUAGUGUGAACCCAUCAAGUGUGUGUCUUGCUUCCCUUUUCAAUCAACAAGCUACCUCCCUGAUUUGAAUAUAAUGAACUUAAAUGCUUCAGUUUCUAUGGUCCAUUGUUAUGUGAUGGACAUGAAAAAUGAAAAAUAUAGCCUACAAUGUUCAAAAUGCAUCUGAAGUACUAGGGUAUAAAAUAAGCUCACUGCCAUCCAAGUACAAGGGUUAACAACUAGAAAUAUAACCUUUAUUGCUAUCUGUAAACAAAAUAUGCCUGUUGAAUUACAUGUCGGGAAAGGUGAAUGCACGGAUUAACGGCUAGUAUUAGCUAAUUUUGUUGUCUUUUUUGUUAAUAACUAGGUUUCCAAUGCCAAACUCUGCGUAAGGGUUCAGCAACUGGCUACAUAUUGGAAAGGAGUUACUGUUGGUGGCUAGACCUCAUUAGAGAUAACUAUUUCAUCCCUGAUGCCUUCCAUGCCUAUGGAUGUACCGCGUGCUCGAGUAAGCUAUGGUUGCAGAUGGAUCUUAAACCUGAUGUCAAAUUGUGGAUAAUUGAAAGAGUUUGCUGUUUGCCUGCUUUAGGGAAGAUGGGUAGCACGUUUAUAUGCCAUUAUUUCUCAUGAAAGCGUGCAUAUACCAUGUUUGUCGGAGCAAGAUGAGGCUGUAGAGUAGUAGACGUGUAGAACAAUGGUACAGGUUGUAUGAAUAAUUUAUCGAAGGGGAUCAUAGACGCCACAGCCACUGAAGCUGUUGGGGCAUGAUUAGUCAAUGGUCUAAUUCCUGAUAUCUCCGUAUCCUAAUUCUCUGAAGCCUUACGGACUCUACCCUCAUCACUUCAUGUAUAUUAGUGUUUAUAAUAGCGGUUUUAUAACAAGUGCUGAAGGUAUUGGUCCUGCUAUAUCUUGCUUCCACUACCGGAUUUGUGUACAAAAUAUUAAUUCUUGAGAUUUGUCAAUGAUUUUAGGAAGCAAUGAUACCUUCAACUACCGGAUUGCAUAUAUAAGUUAGUCUUAGCCAGUUAUAUAUCAGAGGAGGAAGCACGCAUUAAAUAAUAAAUAACUCAUGUUGAUUCAACUGGUAACCUGGCCUAUGUCACUCGGAUACACCGUUUCUCUGAGGUGUUCCAGGAGGCGUAAGUUGUGGAACAAUUCCGCAACUCUUUAGAUGAUUGCUAAACUCGUGGCUCAAAUACUCGCCUCCACGAUCAGAUCGUAAGGCUUUAAUUUUUUUGCCAUGCUGAUUUUCAACUUCAUUCUGAAAUUCCUUGAACUUUUCAAAGGUUUCGGACUUGUGCCUCAUCAAGUAGACAUAGCCAUAUCUACUAAAAUCAUCAGUGAAAGUUAUGAAGUAUUGGAAUCCUCCUCUAACCUUCGUGCUCAUUGGUCCGCAUACAUCACUAUGUACGAGUUUCAACAAGUCUACUGCUCUCUCAGAAAAUCCUGUGAAAGGUGUCUUGGUCAUCUUGCCUAGCAAGCAAGCCUCACAUAUCUCGUAUGAUUCAAAAUCAAACGAAGUUAGAAGUCCAUCAGAAUGGAGCUUCUUCAUGCGCUUUUCACUUAUAUGACCCAAACGACAAUGCCACAAGUAGGUAGGACUCAAAUCAUUAGGCCGAGGCCUUUUAGCACUUACGUUACAGACAGGUGAACCAUCAAGAUUUAAAACAAAUAAUCCAUUCACAAUGGGCGCAAAAGCCAUAAACAUAUCAUUCUUAGAGAUCACACAACCAUUGUUUUCACUCGCAAAUGAAUAACCAUCCUUCAUCAAGCAUGAAGGAGACAAAAUGUUUCGACUUAAACUAGGAAUGAAAUAACAAUUAUUCAACUCCAUAAUAAAUCCUGACGGGAGGUGGAGUUGCAUCGUCCCGACGGUCAACGCAGCAACUUCUUGCAUUAUUGCCCACGCGGAAAUCAACUUCUCCUCUUUCCACACUUCUACUUCUUAUCAUUCCCUGCAUCGAAUUGCAAAUAUGAGCAACCGAUCUGGUAUCAAAUACCCAAGAAUUAAUAAUUAUCUAUAACAUUAACAACAAGCGUACCUGAGGUAGAAGUAUUCUUACUUCCGCCAUUCUUCAACGAAGCUAGGUAUUGCUUGCAGUUUCUCUUCCAGUGACCAGGUUCGUGACAAUAAAAGCACUCUUUGUCUGGAGUAGGCCCAGCUUUAGCCUUGGGCGCUGGGUUUGGCUUAGACAGUCCAGCCUUACCCUUCUUCUUCCAAAAAUUGCCCUUCUUAUUGAAGGUAGGCUUGUUCUGUACAGCCAUCACAUGGUUGGUACUAGCGCUUUUCUUAAUGUCUACCUCUGCUGUCUUGAGCAUACCAUAUAGUAUAUUCAGACCCUUCUCCGUCCCAUGCAUAUGGUAGUUCGAGAUGAAGUUCCCAUAGCUAGGCGGAAGAGAUGAAAGAAUGAAGUCAGUGGCCAACUCUUUGCCCAUUGGGAAGCCCAUCUUCUCCAAUCGCUGAGUGUAACCAACCAUCUUGAUUACAUUUGGUCCUACUGUUGCGCCUUCUGCUAGCUUGCACUCCAGAAAGGCUUUGGACACAUUGAACCUUUCAGUCCUAGCCUGUGUCUAGAACAUGUCCUUGAGCGCCACGAUCAUAUCGUGUGCCUCAUGAUUUGUUUCGAACUGCAUCUGCAGCUCGGGUUCCAUGCAAGCAAGCAUAAGGCAGCUUACCUCAAGAUUAGCAUCAAAUGCCUUCUUGUAAGCAGCCUUAACGGCAGCAGAUGAAUCAUCAGCAGGUACUGGUGGUAGUGGGGUGUCUAGAACAUCUUCCUUUUUAUCGGCCCUGAGAACAAUUCUCAGGUUACGGAUCCAAUCCGAGUAGUUUGUUCCAUUCAACUUGUCCUCUCAAGGACCGAACGCAAAGCAAAUGGUGUGGUGUUGCUAGGUGCCAUUUAAUCUACAACAAAAGUAAUGCAAAAUACACUAAGACAAACAUAUCCAUGAUAGAGCAAAUCACAUUAAACUAUGUUAACAGAAUCUACUCCCACUAAAAUCAAUAUCCCUCUAUUGAUACUUAGUGAUUCAGGAUCCACAACUAACAAGUCUACUAGUGAGCUUUAGCAUCACCGCUAGCAAACAAAGUAGAUCGGUAAGCAACUUUUCCUAAUCAUAUCACAUAUGACUCCUGUUGUUGGGUGACAUCUCCAUGUCUCGGCGCCCAACCUUUAUGCCCCAAGGUCCUUAAACGUUAAGUUAACCUUGUUAAGCAAACCAACCCUUAUGCAUGUAAGUGUGCGACACAAACCCGUCUAAUCAAGAAAAACUAGUGGCACCCUAAUUUCAUAGACCCACCACUAAUUGUACAAGACAUGGGACGGUGCAAGUUUUAGUUGGGAGGGCAUACUAACUUAAAAUUUGUGAGGGAUCGUUCUACUUCUAACAUCACAGCAUGCAGAAAGUAAAACAUAAACAGAAUAGCAUUCACACAGUUGUGACACAGUAUGACCCGUUUUCUUAUGGUGAUCUUCAUCUCCAUAGAACCUGUUCACCAUGGUGAUCUCCAUCUCCAUGUUCCAUGUGCGCCAUCCUCUUGGUGAUGAGUCCUCCAAGAACUAGAACAUGCUAUUACGCCUAAUAGCUAGUAAAAAGCUAGUAAUGAAGAUUACAUAGUUGGUUGGAUCAUCACAGAUUGGUACGCAGACCAUUAAAUACAUUAAGGUAACAACACAUAUGGCUCCUGCCGUGUUGCCGUACGCACGACACGCAGGUCACGAAUGAGUUACACACAUGCAUCACAUACACAAAGGGGCCAUACUGAUCACAAGAUACAUACAUCUUGCAAAACAGAGUUAAGCGUCCUAACGUUCCAAACUUUGGAGGCCCGAAACUCCAUCUUCCAAGCCGAAUUUGGGAAAUCUAAUGUCGCCGAAAAUGGCGAAGCAGUCGAAUUUCAUGUGUAACUUUUUCUGUAGAUCAAUUUUUAUAUAAAAUUCGCCCCGAUCCGAGAUCGUAUCGAAAAGUUACGGCUGAUUUACCGAAGCAUACGCACACGGCAAAAUCCCGACCCCGGCAGUAGAUCCCAUCUACUAUUGCACAUCUCAUGUGCCUGGCGUAUGAACCUAGAUUUCGAUUCGACCAAUCACAUUGAUCUUCGCUCACUGCAACUGGAAUUACGUGUAUCACCUAACUCCGAUGGUGGAAACCCAACCGGUAGGAGUAUGUCGUUACACUACCAUAGCAGCAAGAACACGAAACCAGGACGGAGAUCAAAUUGAAAACUCGCAUAUCUCCAUAUGCACACAUCCCAAAUCCAAAACUAAACAGCUACGGCUCUGAUACCACUGUCGGGAUACGAGGUAGGCUACACUAGCGCAAAUAAAAAAUUUUCUACCGCGUAAACCAGGGAAACUGCCGUAUAAGGAUCACGGGAUUACCACUCGACACACUACUAGUGCGCAAGAUGUAGAUUCACGUCGAUGCAGCGAAGUCGAUCAACGUAGUCGUAUGUAGUCGAUCACGUCGACGUCCAACAGCUCCUCAGCAGCUCGUCCACGUGCAGCAAGAUCUCCCUCGUGCCGCGGCUUGUCGGCGGCUCGUCACGGCUCGUCGGCGGCUCGUCCAAGUGCUGCAGGCGCAACACCUCCAAGGUAUCCACACGUGCAGGGAGGAAGCGUCACAAGCCGGACUGCUAGAUCCGUAAGUUGCAACAGGCGUGGGAGGCGCGGCUGAUGAGUUUCGUCAAAAUGGUGUAAACCCUAGGGCGCCCCCACCCCUCUAUUUAUAGAGGUUCCUAACGGGCCUCUGGGUCCGAGGCCCAUUAGUACUUCUAAACCUAAUCCAACUCGGAUCACAUCCGAAUUGGGCUUCCAGCCCCUUAAGUGUAUGACCCUAUGGGUUCGGAUACGUAUAGACAUGGCCCGAGUACUCUUACUCGGCCCAAUAGUCGGUAGCGGCCUCUAGCAAGACAUGCCAACUCCUAGAUGCACACGAAGAUCAUAUCAGACGAACCAUCACAACAUUAUAUACAUGCUAUUCCCUUUGCCUCACGAUAUUUUGUCUAGCUUCAAGCCGACCGCUCUUUCUCGAUCCUGUGAUUCGGAAUCCCUUUGUAGGUUAACUCUUAACCGUACGUAGCAUGGCCAUGCAUUUUUGGAUCCGAUCACUCGAGGGGCCCAGAGAUAUCACUCUCAAUCAGAGAGGGGCAAAUCCCAUCUUGAUUAACCAUGUCUCAUAGCAUGCUUCUUGACAAAACCGAAAGCUACCUUUAUAACUACCCUGUUACGGCGUAGCGUUUGAUACCCUCUAAGUAGGUCGAUCCACAUCUUGAAUACAUGCGACAAUCUCAGGUCUAAGGACAAAGCGUAUAUGAUGUUUAAAGAGAGAACUACUUCUCAUGUUGGGUCAGUCCUAGCACAUGUCUCCACAUGAACCCACAUUAUUAGUUCAACAUCUCCAUGUCCAUGACUUGUGAAACAUAGUCAUCAACUAAUACAUGUGCUAGUCUAAUAUUCAUGUGUGUCCUCACAUGAACUCCGACUAGGGACAACUUUAGAAUAACCAUACAAGUAAAGAGUUUCACACACAAUUCAUGUAAUUGCAAAUCAAUUCAAGUAGUCUUUAAUGGAUAUUCAAGGAACACAACAUAAAUCAUGGAUACAAAUGGAAUAUCAUCAUCUCUAUGAUUGCCUCUAGGGCAUACCUCCAACAAUUUGCAGGGUCAUGCACCAUGCGUGCGGCGACCCAUCCAUCGGACAGCGCAUGGCAUUGCACAAGACGUACUGGGAGGAUAUGCAGUGGAAUGAGCCAGACAGGUACUACGCCCUCCUCGCUCUGCUGGUUGGUUUGGGGAACCUGGAGGCCUGCACCAUCAAAGGGAUUGUAGAUUUCUUCGCCGUCCCCCGGCCAUCCCUCCAAAAGCUUUCCCGCACCACACCGGGUGGGCAUGAUGUGAGGGCCUAUCUUUACGCCCUAAUGAUAUACAGGAACAACAGUGCAAUCAUGGACGAUGACAUUGCGAAGAGAUAAAUCUACCACGUCGAAUGCAAGGAUGGUUCGGCAGUGAGCGGGAGCACAAGCUCAAAGAAGCUGCGCAACGAUGCCUGUCAGGUGUGCCGCGAGGAGGCCGCCUACCUAGUCAAUAGAGUUACAUGGGGCGGGCAUGGUGAUCCGCUUUCACCGGCACCAGUUUGAGGCGACUUCCCUUGCACUGGAGGCGACUGCGGCAAGGUUAAGGGCUGGGAACAAGCUACGCUUUAUUGCAACGAGGACUAUAGGAUACGCCAUGAAAUUGUAGCGUUCAAAAGGAGAAUGGAGAUCGAUAACUAAUUGUAGGAUUUCUUUUGCUUUUGCCUAAUGUUGUCCAUGACUCGUUGGCUGAACUUGUAGUGCUGGAACUAUGUUUGUGGUUAAUUUGGAUCAACUUGUAGUCACUACAAGGUUUUGUCUAUCCAAUGGAGUUGUAUUUUCGCAAUGUGUUUUUGUGUCUAAGCACACCUUACACCUCCCUACAUAUAGGUGUUAUGAUGCACAUAUAAAAAGAACCCACACUUGGGUACCUUCAUUUGUCCUUGGAUUUCAAUUGUGGGACCCACUACAUCCCGCCAGGUUGUGCCUCAAAUUUUUAGUACUAGUGCAAUGUUUCCUCCAUUCUUUUUUUCCUAGACCCUCAAAUAUAUCUCAGCCUCUACCCCACUUGCCCCCAAAACUGCGCUGGCUGCGUUAGGGGGGGCAACGGUUCCUCUCUGCCCAAGCGACUCCAUCCAUGGCAACUCCUCCUUCCAUGGCGACUCCUUCCAUGGCCGGCGAUGGAGAACCCAGCACACGACCAAGUACGGUCAGAGUCGAGGAAGCCGAUAUUGAAAACAAAUGUUACAGGUUCGCAUCCACCUUUAACGCCUUCUAGGUUAGGGCAGAAAAUUUCUACACAUUAAUUGCGUACAAUCGAUUUGAUGCUGCCUCAUUGGCGCAUGCUUUUAUAAAUCACAGAUCUGAUUACUACUGAUUAGUUUUUCGCAUAGCACUAGUAGUACUACAUCUUCAUUCAUUGAUGCAAGGGUUUUGAUAUCUAUGUGCACAUACAGAUCAGAGGAGUUGACAGGCUAGAUGGAUGUGGCAGGUAAUGGUACAGUGCCUGGGGGCAGAAGGACAAGAUGUGCGCCUGGUUAAGGUAAUAUUGAUAGCGCACAAUUAGACUUUGUCAGCUUGUGGGAUUACAAAGAUCAACUUCGAUAUGGUGCGUGGGACUACUACUACUACAAGAAGAGAAUAGGAAAUGCUGAUGCAUCUGUUCAGUCAAUUGGUUACCCCAAAGAUGUAGAGUGUAUGUUUCAGUACAUGGAUUCAUCUGAAGAAAGGAAACUAAGGUUGAUACUAUCAAAACAAGAAUUGGUUGGAGCUGUCAACAUUACACCCCUGAAACAACCAAGGGUGAAUGAGUCUGAUGAUGUUACUGAUGCUGAUACUAGUAAUGAUGAAUCACUUGAUGAAUACAAAGAUUGUCUUCAAGACCAAGACCUAGAUUGUGGUAUGUAUGCUGUUUGUACUACACUAUGCACAUGUGUCUAUAACUGUACAAUGUACUCACAUAGUUGUGUUGGUAACUUGCAGAUCUAUACGAUAACUAUAGGGAAGAAAUAGUAAAAACAUACUCUAAAUGGUUAAGGCAGAAAGGCCUUAUGAGAGAUAUUUGUAAAUCCUUUUUCCUCUGAACUAAUUCUUAUUUUUGAUGAAAAUUGUACAAUCGUCUAAGUGCACUUGUUUUUUAUUUGUUCAGUGGCUUAUAAUAGAGGUCAAGCAAAGCUUACAGAAGUACGUGAUGAGAGCAAUGGUAGUAGCGCCACGCCACCAUCACAAUGGCCAGCACAUGCUAGGAAACCAAAGCAGACAAUAGGUUCUAAAAGCUAAAGCUUCACACCUUCUGUAGUUUUUUAUGCUCUUAUUGUGCACGACUUAAUGUAAGUUUCUAUUUUUUGAUUGUAAUUAGGUGGCAAGAAAAUGGACCGAGAAUGCUUGAAAGGGCUAGCUGUGGUGGCCAAGAGAUCGAAGUCUGGCUCAUAGAAACUGAAAAUCAAAUUUUCCAAAAAUGUGGGUGGUCCCUGUGGAGAUAACAGACGUACCUUUGUGGAUGAGGUUGUUCUGUUUACAAAGUAGAAGGCUCCAUUAAUUGGAGUUAGAAAUUGGAAAGAUGUGUGUCAGCAUGUCAAGGAUGAUAUCGUAGAAUCUGUAAUGGUAUGUCAAUGGCCACCUCAUCCUUCAUUAUAAUGUUAUAUAUUAGUCUUGUUCCCUCUAUUUUCUUGGAAACAUAUAUUUUGAAUGUAGCAUACAUAACAAGUUUUCUUUCCCACUAGGAUCAUUGGGACCUUGAGACCACUGAGAGUCCGAACAAAAAGAUAUGGAAGGUUGCCAAUGAACGCUACAAAAGUUGGCGAUCUGUUUUGCAUUCUACAUACAAGGCAUACAACAGUUAUGAUGAGAGAAGGAGACAUAAGCCUGAAGACAUAGACAUUGUGAAGUGGCACUAUUUGAACAUGUACUUUGGAACUAAGGACUUCAAGGUAGGCCCUCUUUUGUAAGUAAAAGAACACAAUCAUGAGUUCAACUUUUCAUCGCUAACCAUUACUUUACGGGAUGACUGUGUAGAGUAGGAGCAGCAUGAACUCUUUGAAUCGUAGCCAACUGAGAACAAAUCACUCGGGGGGUUCCAAACCUUUCUCGUAGUGGAGUUGGGAAAAGGUAAAGAUUUGUUUACUUAUUCUCAACUUUCAGUACAUUACACAAUGAUAUAUUAAUAGCGUUUAAUGUUGUAAUCAUAGAGAGAUCCAGUAACUGGCGAUGAGCCACCCCUUUUGGAACUUUGGAAGACUACUCAUACUAGGGAAGAAAGAUGGACAAAUCACCUAGCUGAAAGUAUUUAUGUGUGUACUGAGUGCUAAUUUGAUCAUAACAUUGAUUCGGCAUUACAAGCUAUUUUUUGGUAUGAAAACAUGACCAAAUUAAUGUUACAAUUAAUUGUUUCUUGCCAUCAGACAUGUACAUCUAGAAAAUUAUCUCAACACAAUCAGAUGAAGAAGACCAACAAGUCAUACUUCUGGACUUGCUAAGGAAGACCAAGUUUUCUAGGAAACGUACAGGGAAACAACAGGAGCCAAAUAUAGAAGGUCACGUGGCCAUGGUUACUUGUCGAAUCCAAAACGAAAGCAAGAAGCCCUUCAGGAGAGAAUGAUUCAGGAGAGAAUAGAGAGGCCCGAAGAACAAGAAUGUCAGUUACAGGAAAAAAUGCAAAAGCAUGAAGCUAAAAAGGAAGCAGAGAUCGAACAACUUAAAGUUGCACUUAGCCAAGAAUUGAUGGGGGAAGUUGCUAGAAUGAUCGCGCCUUAUCGUCAGGCUUUACUGCAAGAGGUAACCAGAAUAUAAUUUGUGCAUGUUGAUUUAUGUUGUGUUCUAAAUUUUCAUAAUGUCACUAAUGUCUAGCCUCCCCUCUUUUAAAAUCCGCAGCGUACCCCAGCAAACAACAAUAAUACAACUGAAGUUGAUGCUAGGACCACCGAGGAUAACAUUGAUGCAAGGCCAGUACUGGACAGCCAAGAAAUAAGGAACCAUGUAUCGACAAUAAUUGGUUGUGAUUGAAAAUAUAUAUACAUAUGUCGCUAAUCUCUUGCCUGCCCGCUUUUAAAUUGUGCAGCAUACCCCUCAAACCAACAAUAAAACAACUGAUGAUGAAGCUGGGAGCACUGAGGAAAACCUUGCUGCAACACAAGUAGUGCAUAGUCAAGAAACAUCAAACCAGGUAACAAUAUCGAACAAGCAUUCCAAUCAUGAUGGUUUUUUGCAUUAAAUUUCAGCUAAAAUUGUUCCAAAAACUUUAUUAUGAUCCAGAAUGCUCCAAGAACCAUUGUCACAACCGAAAAAAGCACUUUGGCACCAACCAGAAAUGCUAAAACUGCCAACGUUGCAAAGAGUCUGUUCAAUGAGAAUCACGGUAAAGGUGUAGGAGUUGUUGCAGGAUCCAGAUUCAUUAGUACACAUCAGCUUAUAUCUGGUGCUAAAACUCGAGCAGGCAUAAAGAAAGUACAACAGGUACAAACUGGAAGUGUGCUUUCAAUAUUGCUGCAUAUUGAUUCCAAGACAAAGUAGCUUCAUAAGUUUUAAUUCACUUGUUUGUUUCUCUUUGCUUCAGCAGGCUAGUGAAGCUACGGAGGGGCAAUAAGACUCAAGGUUGCCUACAGGUUACAAGCAGAACUUCAAGCAAAGUUGAUCAUCAUGAAUGCUGGGAGUGAUCAAGAUUAUAGAUGUGUACGAAUAAUAUAGGUGUUCUACAUACUUUAUUAUUGGGAGUCAUGUGGAUGAAUGGACAAGAAUAUUUUCCGUUGUAUUAAAAAAUAUGAUGACGACAUAUUUUCCGUUGCGAUAUCCAUUGAGCGUAUAACCACGACCCGUAUUGUGUUGCACUAUCCUGUACGCAUAUAACCACGACAUAUUUUGAUGCGAUAUGGUUGAUGCAUAUAACGACGGCACAUACCUCGUUGUGAUACCUCGUGAGCAUAUUACAACGCUUUCUCAUCAUUGCGAUAUCCAUUGAGCGUAUAACCAUGACCCGUAUUGUGUUGCAAUAUCCUGUAUGCAUAUAACCAUGAUAUAUUUUGUUGCGAUAUGGUUGAAGCAUAUAACGACAGCACAUACCUCGUUGCGAUACCUUGUAAGCAUAUUACAAUGCUUUCUCGUCGUUGCGAUAUAAUUUAAGCAUAUAACGAUGACCCAUAUUUCGUUGCGAUACCCUUUAAGCAUGUUGCAAUGUCAUAUUUUGUUGGAAUAUGGUUGACGCAUAUAGCCAUGACUAGUAUUUUGUUGAGAUAUCCUCUUAGCAUAUUGCAAUAGGAUAAGUCUUGUAUUGCAACAACAUUCUUGUGUUGCAUUAACGCUUGUUUGCAACAGCGCAAUGUCGUUGCAAUAGCCACUAUAGCAACGACGCCUGCCAUUGCAAUUAACAAAAUUGCAACGACAAUGGACGUUGUAAUAUCCACUUAUUACUACGACACACAUCGUUGCAACAACUCACCCUUAUGCCCACGGCUUCCUGUGUCAUUGUAAUACCCUAUUACAACGCAAGUUUACGCAACGACAUGAAUUUUAAGGCAACGACACAAAAUUAUCGCAAUAGCUCGCUAUUGCAAUGAAAUGACCCCUAUUGCAAUGAUUUCGUGCUGUGGUGCUAGUGACAAAACCUUGUAGUGAAUGAUUUGGCUGCUAGCGUCACUUGGCCUACCCAACUCCCUCCGGGUUGGACGGUUGAGUGGGAUUCCUCCUCAGACGGCGAGGAUAGGGGUCAUUGAUGUCAUGAUCGGCUUCGUCAUGAUAUCGUGUAUCGACGUUUAGUUUCCGCAUGUUUUACUUCUUUGUUGUUUGAAACCGUGCAAACUCUGAUCUAAUAAAUUAUUGAUCUUUCUAUAAUAUGAACGGAAUGUUUUAAUCUCUGUAAGCACUAACCUUUGUGUGAGCAAUGCUUAUCGAUCCUGUAUAUGUGGUUUAUCAGAGGAAAUCCAACGGUCGACUAAGUUGACUUGUUUAAGGUGCUUGAUCGCGUGUUAGGUGACUUAAGUGCACUUUAGCUAGGUUAAUUUUAGACCAUUCCGCCACAACAUGGAUACUUUUUCCUCUUGGUUGCAUCAACACCUUAUAGGUAACUCUGAGAUUCACCCACAACUCGCUUGGUUAGCUAAGGGACCUUCUAGCACAAUCGUGAAAUUCCAAGGCUACAAGAUAAAUGAUUAUACAUUUUACACGAGAGCCCAAGACCAAAAAAGCACGAACCAAAAUAGUGGUGUCCGCAUAGAUGUCAUACACAGCACCGGUAGCAAGGACUCCUAUUAUGGUUUCAUAGAGGAGAUAUGGGAACUCGAAUACAGACCGCUGAACAUCCCUCUGUUUUGUUGCUAAUGGGUGAAGCUAACUGGCGUAACCAAAGAUCAGCAUGGAAUAACAAUAGUGGACCUAACCAAGACUGGAUACAAUGAUGAACCAUUCAUACUUGCCAAUGAUGUGCAUCAAGUUUUCUAUGUGAAGGACAUGUCUAGCAAACCAAAAAAAAUUCAGAAGAGCCAUGGAAGCCAAAGCGCCACAUAGUGCUUCUAGGUAAGAGAAAAAUCAUGGGAGUCAAAGAACAAAAUAGAGCAAUCAGAUCAUUAUGAUUAGUUUGAUGGCAUGCCUCCAUUCGCUAUUGAAGUUGACCCAAGCAUCAUGCCAAAGAAGAGGCUCCGUACUUACGCCAUGAUCAUGACCAAGGAACUUUCAUGAAGAAGUUUCUUAACGUUACAUUGUAAUGCACUAAAUAUGCUUCACCUUUAUGUAAAGUUACAUUGUAAAGUUCUAUGAUUUCAUGUACUACUUGAUACAAUUUUUAAUUUAAUGUAUCUAUGAUUUCAUGUGUGUUUAAAUUAGGUGAGGUGAAGAAUUAUUCAAAAUAUGUUUUUUGAUAUAUUUUUGCAUGUUUGAAAAAUAUAAAGUUUUUAUUUUUUUCUAUAACAAAGCCAGUUCAAAACAUAUAUUAAUUUGUAUGUUUAAAUUAGUUGAGGUAAAGAUUUAUUCGAUCAAUAUGAACAAUGUUAACCACAUACAUCAAUUGAAUUUUUCACAUGUUGAAAUUAUUUAAUUGAAUAAUUUCUUGAUGAUAGUGAUGUAGUAAAAUAAUUAUUUUAUAAACUAAAAGAACUAGUAUAGAAUUAAUGACUCAUUCAAACUUAUUGUUAAUAUACUUGCUAAUUUAAUAUAGUUUUGCAUGUUCCAAAUAUGUAAAGUUUUUAUUUUUUCCUUCCUAAAAUCCAGUGAAAACAUAUAUAAAAUCUAUUUGCAAAAAAUAGGCGAGAACUGAAAAAUGGAAAACGAAUCUUUAUCCUAGAUGCAAAUUGCAUCUAGGACAAAAUGUCCCCCCUUUAGGCCCGGUUGCAAUUUGCCACUAGGAUAAAAGGGUAAUUUUCGCCUCCCACGCGAACGUACCCUUUUGUCCUGGUUGUAAAUUGCAACCGGGACUAAAGGGGGGGCCUUUUGUCCGGUUGCAAUUGGCACCCAGGACAAAAGGACCCUUUAGUCCAGGUUGCAAUUUGCAACCGGGAUAAAAAGGGUCGUAAAAGUAACAUUCAUCUUCUCCACCCUCCACCCUUCAACACUUAGCGAAAUUUUCACCACUCUCCAGGAUCUACCGCGCCCGUCCGCCUCUGAUGCCGCUGGUCUCUCAUCCCCGCCCGUCCGCCUCCAUCGCCGGCCGCCGUGCUACUCAUCACCCGCCUCCAUCCCACUGUCGCCUCCUCCAUCGCCCGACCCGCCACCGCCUCCUCCGUCGCACCCUCUCGUCGCCACCGCCUCCGGUGCGCCCCCUCAUUGUCACCUCCCUCCGCGCCGCCUCUGUGGUGAAACCGCCCAACUUAAGCUGGUUUAAGUGCACCUAAUCGCUGUCGGGACAACAAUUAUUCGAAACACACCUAAAACAGCAUAAGUCCGGUAGUCCGUCGAGUGUCCCUAGGACUCCUCGAAAGAUCCACGACGUGUCUCAUAGCCAUACACCAGGAUCGCUUCCUCGAUGGGAAGGCAUCAACAAACAUUACAUUUUUACAUACAUACCGGGGUACGAAUUAUUACAUACCAUAGUUUGAAACAAACUUAAUAGUGCAGGUUAGCGCGGUUCUAAGAGUUCAAAACAUGAACCAGUCUAGGUGAAAGAUAAACAUUUAAGUUUUAUUUCUAGGGUAUUUCGAGACUCGUAAAAUACCCUAGUUCUUCGGAGCUUCUUCCUCAGCGGACUCCUGUUGUGGCUCUGAAAUAGCAACGAGGGAUAACCCUGAGUAUAGGGUACUCAGCAAGACUAACCCGACUAACCAAUAUAAUAGCUUUUCUGGAAUUGCAUGAAAGCCUUUCAGUGUACUGGCUGACUCAUAUUUUUGCCAAAAGAGCUUACUAAAGUGAAACCUUAACUUUGUCUUUUACUUCAAUUGAGUUAUUACCUAUCCAAUCUAGAUAAUGAAAAAGAAAUACUUUUGCAAACAGUAGGAAAUUAAGUCAUACAACAAAUUAAUUGGAAAGACAUUGCAUUCAUGAGAUUACACUACGAUGCUUAACAGCGAUCUAGCGCAUUCAUAACCGAGAAUUGCGGCGAUCCGGAUCAAUUACAUCCUAUAGGAGAGCACCCUGAUCACCAGCUAUGUACAACUGUCCGGGUCGUACAUAACGACCUUUCGAUUAGCAUACCCAAAGAUUGGGAAUAAGACUACCCGAACCCAGGGACGCACCCCCACAUGGGACCCCAUGUCUGGCCCGAUCUCCAUGUGAGUUUUUAGGCUAUGCCCCUGCCAAUCUCCAGCACGUCAAGCACGGGUACGAAAUAUUCCGGAUCAGAGAGUUUACUAACCUACCGGGCUUUACUGGUCCCAUACCCAGUAAGCAACCAGGUGACAUUCACUUGAUCAAAGGUUAAGACAACGAUCGGGCCUUAACCAAAUUAAUCUAGCAGACAGAACUAACAUCUCUAGCUUCUAUCGGCUUUCCAAAUUUCCAAGCUAACUUUCCAUAUCUAGCAUGUAUGACCCAACAAUUUACCUUAAGGUUCGGUAACCAAGUUACUUUCAGUAUCUAAGCAUUGCUAAGCAUGGGUUAAUUACUAAUUAUUGAACAAGUGGCAAAGAUGUCCUUAAAACAAGGCAGGAUCAUGCACAAGAAUAGGUUUCAAUCAACUCCUAGACUUAAUGCAUUGAUAAAAGAAAUAACCAAUAAUUGAACACAUGAAAUAAUAACUCCAAAACAGAUAGGUAUAGAUGCACCGGGGCUUGCCUGGGAUCAACAAAUGUUAGUUCUUCGGAAAACCCCUUUAGUAAAAGAGGCACUUCAACAUUUCUCGGACUCUGUCAAUCUUCAGAUGAAUUCCACGAAUUCCACUUCAGAAGCUUCGAUGUCUAUGAUUUAGUACAUGCAGGAGUUAGAGAUGCAAACUUUUGAAUACAUGACUAUACAACUUUCCUUCAUGAUAAAGUUGCAAGCCAACAAGUGACUAUACAACCUAUCUUCACAAUAAAGUUGCAAGCCAACACUAAUCUACCCAUAACAUCUAACCCACGAUUUUUUAAUCUCUUUACUAACCUGCCUUAAGCCCUUUCUUUUAUUUUAGAAAAGCAUUACAAAUAUUUUCUAAUCUCAAAAGUUAUUUCCUAUGAUUUAAUAAUAAUUUGUGAAUAAGAAAACAUUAUUCAAUAUUUUAUGCAUUUAAUAAAGGUUAAGCAUUUAUUUAAAUAACUUAAUGACGCAUUAAAUAAAUACCUAAAUUUUAUUAUUUUUCCUAGGGUAUAAAAAUUUGAAUGCAUAAAGGAAAAUAAAAUAAUCCUAACAAAAUUGGUCUCACUAAUUUUGGACACUCCUAGAAAUUUCUGUGAUUUAAACGGUGUAAACCGAAUUUUAAUGUUCUUUAUCUAUAAAAGGAAAACCUAAUGUUUAUCCAAAUAACCCCGGCCUAACCUUUCUCACUCGUACUAGGCCCGUUAAGCUGGUCCACCUACUCCCGGUCUCUACCUUAUUCUACUCGCCGGCCCAACGAGCGCCCAAACUCUAACGAGCCUCCUCACGACCGGCCUGCUCUCCGCACAGGCCAACAGCCCAACUUCCUCCUCCCUACCCAUGCCUGACGCAAGGGCCUUUUUUUUUUGGGGCCAGCCCACCCCGUUUCUUUCCCCCUUCACUUCCAC